UACAGAGGUCCCAAGCGUUGUUCGGAUUCACUGGGCGUAAAGGGUGCGUAGGUGGCUUGGUAAGUUUGAUGUGAAAUCUCCGGGCUUAACCCGGAAAUGGCAUUGAAUACUACUUUAGCUGGAGGUCUGGAGGGGGGACUGGAAUUCUCGGUGUAGCAGUGAAAUGCGUAGAUAUCUGGAGGAACACCGGUGGCGAAGGCGGCAUCCUGGACCAAUAUUGACGCUGAGGAGCGAAAGCGUGGGGAGCGAACAGG
rnacentral:rRNA from 1 species